rfam:Dipodomys ordii contig_60927, whole genome shotgun sequence.
GGGAAGGUGGCUCAGUGGUAGAGCGCUUGCCUUGCAUGCAUGAAGCCCUGGGUUCGAUUCCUCAGCGCCA